GAUGGACGCUGGCGGCGUGCCUAAUACAUGCAAGUCGAGCGAACAGACGAGGAGCUUGCUCCUCUGACGUUAGCGGCGGACGGGUGAGUAACACGUGGAUAACCUACCUAUAAGACUGGGAUAACUUCGGGAAACCGGAGCUAAUACCGGAUAAUAUAUUGAACCGCAUGGUUCAAUAGUGAAAGACGGUUUUGCUGUCACUUAUAGAUGGAUCCGCGCCGCAUUAGCUAGUUGGUAAGGUAACGGCUUACCAAGGCGACGAUGCGUAGCCGACCUGAGAGGGUGAUCGGCCACACUGGAACUGAGACACGGUCCAGACUCCUACGGGAGGCAGCAGUAGGGAACCUUCCGCAAUGGGCGAAAGCCUGACGGAGCAACGCCGCGUGAGUGAUGAAGGUCUUCGGAUCGUAAAACUCUGUUAUUAGGGAAGAACAAAUGUGUAAGUAACUAUGCACGUCUUGACGGUACCUAAUCAGAAAGCCACGGCUAACUACGUG
rnacentral:rRNA from 1 species